GAUGAACGCUGACAGAAUGCUUAACACAUGCAAGUCAACUGUGGCGGACGGGUGAGUAACGCGUAAAGAACUUGCCUCACAGUUAGGGACAACAUUUGGAAACGAAUGCUAAUACCUGAUACUGUGAGAGAGUGUUGCGUCCCAUUAGCUAGUUGGAGAGGUAACGGCGCACCAAGGUGAUGAUGGGUAGCCGGCCUGAGAGGGUGAUCGGCCACAAGGGGACUGAGACACGGGCCUUACUCAUACGGGAGGAAGGAGUGGGGAAUUGUGGAAAAUGGGCCAAAGACUGAUCAAGGAAUUCUGUGUGUACGAUGCAGUUUUCGGAAUGUAAAGUGAUUUCAGUUGGGAAGCGGUACCUACAGAAGAAGUGACGGCUAACUACGUGCCAGCAGCCGCGGUAAUAC
rnacentral:rRNA from 1 species